rnacentral:rRNA from 1 species
AUUGAACGCUGGCGGCAGGCUUAACACAUGCAAGUCGAGCGGGGGAAGGUAGCUUGCUACCUAACCUAGCGGCGGACGGGUGAGUAAUGCUUAGGAAUCUGCCUAUUAGUGGGGGACAACAUUUCGAAAGGGAUGCUAAUACCGCAUACGCCCUAAGGGGGAAAGCAGGGGAUCUUCGGACCUUGCGCUAAUAGAUGAGCCUAAGUCGGAUUAGCUAGUUGGUGGGGUAAAGGCCUACCAAGGCGACGAUCUGUAGCGGGUCUGAGAGGAUGAUCCGCCACACUGGGACUGAGACACGGCCCAGACUCCUACGGGAGGCAGCAGUGGGGAAUAUUGGACAAUGGGGGGAACCCUGAUCCAGCCAUGCCGCGUGUGUGAAGAAGGCCUUUUGGUUGUAAAGCACUUUAAGCGAGGAGGAGGCUACUUGGAUUAAUACUCUAGGAUAGUGGACGUUACCCGCAGAAUAAGCACCGGCUAACUCUGUGCCAGCCGCCGCGGUAAAAC